rnacentral:rRNA from 1 species
GUACACUCCUGCGGGAGGCAGCAGUGGGGAAUUUCGGACAAUGGGCGAAAGCCUGAUCCAGCAAUGCCGCGUGAGUGAAGAAGGCCUUCGGGUUGUAAAGCUCUUUUGUCAGGGAAGAAACGGUGAAAGCUAAUAUCUUUUGCUAAUGACGGUACCUGAAGAAUAAGCACCGGCUAACUACGUGCCAGCAGCCGCGGUAAUACGUAGGGUGCAAGCGUUAAUCGGAAUUACUGGGCGUAAAGCGUGCGCAGGCGGUUUUGUAAGUCUGAUGUGAAAUCCCCGGGCUCAACCUGGGAAUUGCAUUGGAGACUGCAAGGCUAGAAUCUGGCAGAGGGGGGUAGAAUUCCACGUGUAGCAGUGAAAUGCGUAGAUAUGUGGAGGAACACCGAUGGCGAAGGCAGCCCCCUGGGUCAAGAUUGACGCUCAUGCACGAAAGCGUGGGGAGCAAACAGGAUUAGAUACCCGUGUAGUCCCAUGA